rfam:Ignavibacteria bacterium RBG_16_35_7 RBG_16_scaffold_20388, whole genome shotgun sequence.
UUCGUUGUGGAGCAGAAUCUGGAGAAAGCCUAAUGCAAACUCUCAAACCAACGGCCAGAAAUCACAUAUAAGGCAGAACAAAUUGGACUUAUGCUCACUUGCAAUGUAAUUGUUUAUGUGAAUGAUGAAAACGAAACCGUU